rnacentral:lncRNA from 10 species
UUUUAAGAACAAAAGCUUUGCUGCCUUGAACCCCCAAAUAAUUGCUCAAAUUCAAACUGGUUGUUAGCUUUUUUAAAAGCUCAGCUGAUUCCGCAGGAUGUUGUGGCUGUGAACUGGGAAGCCUGCCAUGCUAUUAUUUUGAAAAGUGCUGUGCAAACAGUGUUCCUCUCAGAUGGUUUCCAGAGUUAGUUCCUUACAAGCAUUUCCUCUUGAAACAUCGGGAAUCUAAAUAAAGAGAAAGGUGUCUAAUGGUCUAGUCUACCAACUUCACUAUGCUGAUUUAUGAAAGAAUUGCUGAAACCCAGUGAAUAAUAGCAUUUGCCCUUCUUUCUCAAAAAAGCAGCAUUUGCUUUCUUCUGGCAAGGAAUAAUUAAGCUAAUUUCUCCAUGAACCUUGGAAAAAGUGGCAACGAAUAAUGGAUUUGUCCCUCAAAGAACAUUUCAAGCAAACAUCUUAUCAGCUACAAAUUCAUUUGAGGCAGUUCCAGGCACUCCUUGAUGAAAUAAGUAAGAAAGCUUGUCAAGAGCCAUCACUCUUGCUCAUGGGACAAGAGAAGGCACUGACCUGUGCCCACCAGCACCCCAUCACUGAGCCAACACCACCUUCAGGAAGACAGUCUCCAGCAGGGCUUCCCCCAAUUCCCCUAGCUGCUUUGCCUCUGCUACUCCGGUAAGCACCUGCAGGGAGGCAGGCACCCCAGCACCCACUAGCAUUCUGCAACAGCUGUUGCACCUUGGCUCCCCCAGUACAGUGGAUUCCAAACCUCAAGGAGUCAAAGAACAGAUGGGGCCCAAUACAAAUUCCCCAGAAUUACAACAUGCCGUCCAGGAGUUGAGAGCUGAGUGUUGACCUUCUAAAAUCUCCCAGAAACAAAGCCAGGUGGCUGAAUCCACCUUAUAUUAUAGUCAAACCCUCAAGGUCAUCAAAUCAUCAAAUAGGAUAAAAGAAAAAAAAAUCCAAAGGUCAGCAACAUCCAAGAUUGAAGACAGAUAAGCUCACAAAGAUGAGAAAGAGUCAGCACAGGAAAACUGAAAACUCGAAAAACCAGAGUGCCCUCUUUCCUACGAACAGCCACAUCACCUCUCCAGCAAAGGUUCUGAACUGAGCUGAGAUGGCCAAAAUGACAGAAAUAGAAUUCAGAAUAUGGAUAAGAAUGAAGAUCAUUGAGCUACAGGAGUAUGUUGAAACCCAAUGCAAGGAAGUGAAAAAUCAUGAUAAAACAAUGCCAGAGCUGACAGACAAUAAUGGACAGUAUAGAAAAGACUGUAACUGGCCUGAUAGAGUCAAAAAAUAUAAUACAAGAAUUUCAUAAUGCAAUCACAACUAUUAAUAGCAGAAUAUAACAAGUGGAUGAAUGAAUCAGAGCUUAAAGAAUGGCUUUCUGAAAUAAGACAAUCAGACAAGAAUAGAGAAAAAAGAAAAAAAGGAAAGAACAAAAGCUCUUAGAAAUAGACUCACUAAAGAGACUGAGUAAAGAGACCAAAUCUAAAACUCACUUGUGUCCCUGAAGGAGAUGGGGAGAAUAGAACCAACUUGGAGACAUAUUUCAGGCUAUUAUCCAUGAGAAAUUCCCCAGCCUAGAUUGAGAGGCCAACAUUCAAAUUCAGGAAAUUCAGAGAACUCCAGUAAGAUACUUCACAACAAAAUGAUCCACAAGACACAUAAUCAUCAAAUUCUUCAAGAUUGAAGUGAAAGAAAAAAUAUUAAAGGCAGCAAGAGAGAAAGGUUAGUUACCUACAAAGGGAAGCCCAUCAGACUAACAGUGGGCCUCUCAGCUGAAACCCUACAAGUCUGAAGAAAUCAGAGGCCAACGUUCAACAUUGUUAAGGAAAACAAAUUCCAUCCCAGAAUUUCAUAUCCAGCCAAACUAAGCUUCAUAAGCAAAGGAGAAAUAAGAUCAUCUGUAGACAAGCAAAUGCUGAGCAAAUUUGGUACCACCAGACCUGCCCUGCAAAAGUUCCUGAAGGAAGCACCAACUAUGGAAAGGAAAGACUAUUACCAGCCACUAUAAAAACACACUGAAGUACACAGGCCAGUGACACUAUAAAGCAUCCACACAUACAAGUUUGCAAAAUAACCCGCUAACACUAUGAUGACAGGAUCAAAUCCACAGAUAUCAAUACUAACCUUGAAUGUAAAUGGACUAAAUGCCCCCAAGUGAAAGACAGAGUGUGGCAAGCUGGAUAAAGAACCAAGACCCAUUGGUAUGCUGUCUUCAAGACACCCAUCUCAUAUGCAGUGACAUAUAUAGGCUCAAAAUAAAGAGAUGAAGAAAAAUCUACCAAGAAAAUGGAAAACAAAAGAAAGCAGGGGUUGCAAUCCCAGUUUCUGACAAAACAGACUUUAAACCAACAAACAUCCAAAAAGACAAAAAAGGGCAUUACAUAAUGGUAAAUGGUUCAAUUCAACAAGAAGAUCUAACUAUCCUAAAUAUAUAUGCACCCAACAGGAGCACCCAGAUUAAUAAAGCAAGGGUUUAGAGACCUUCAAAGAGCAUUGUACCCCCACACAAAAAUAGUGGGAGAAUAUAACACCUCACUGAAAAUAUUAAAGAGAUUAUCAAAACAGAAAAUUAACAAAGAUAUUCAGUACCUGAACUAAGCAUUGGAUCAAAUGGAUCUAAUAGAUAUCUACAGAACUCUCCAUCCCAAAACAACAUAAUAUACAUUCUUCUCAUUGCCACAUGGCAUAUACUCUAAAGUUGAUCACAUAAUCAGAAGUAAAACACUCCUCAGCAAAUGCAAAAGAACUGAAAUCAUAACAAUCUCUCAGACCACAGUGCAAUCAAAUUAGAAAUCGAGACUAAGAAAUUCACUCAAAACCAUAUAAUUACAUGGAAAUUGAAUAACCUACUCCUGAGUGACUUUUAGGUAAAUAAUGAAAUUAAGGAAGAAAUCAAGAAGUUCUUUGAAACUAAUGAGAACAAAUAUACAACAUACUAGAAUCUCUGGGACACAGAUAAGGCAGUGUUAAGAGGAAAAUUUGUAGCACUAAAUGCCCACAUCAAAAAGUUAGAAUGAUCUCAAGUUAACAACCUAACAUCACAACUAAAAGAACUAGAGAACCAAGAGCAAACAAAUCCCAAAGCUAUCAGAAGACAAGAAAUAACCAAAAUUAGAGCUUAACUGAAAGAGAUAGAAACACAAAAAAUCCUUCAACAAUUAACAAAUCCAGGAUCUAGUUUUUGAAAAAAAAAUAGAAUAAACUGCUAGCUAGACUAAUAAAGAAGAAAAGAGAGAAGAUUCAAAUGAAAACAAUCAGAAAUGAUGAGAGGGAUAUUAUCACUGACCUCACAGAAAUACAAACAACCACCAGAGACUAUUAUGAACACUUCUAUGCACAUAAACUAGAAAAUCUAGAAGUGGAUAAAUUCCUGGACCCAUUCACCCUCCCAAAACUGAACCAGGAAGAAAUUGGUCCCCGAACAGACUAAUAGUGAGCUCUGAAAUUGAGUCAGUAAUAAAUAGCCUACCAACCAAAACAAAAAACAACAACAAAAAAACAAAACCUGGGACCAGACAGAUUCACAGCUGAAUUCUAUCAGAUGUACAAAAAAAGAGCUGAUACCAUUCCUACUGAAACUAUUCCAAAAAAUUGAGGACAAGGAAUUCCUCCCUAACUUGUUCUAUGAGGCCAGCAUCAUCCUGAUAUCAAAAUCUGAGAAAGAUACACCAAAAAAAGAAAACUUCAGACCAAUAUUUUUGAUGAACAUCAAUGCAAAAAUUCUCAACAAAAUACCGGCAAACCAAAUCCAGCAACAUCUGAAAGCCUAUCCACCACAAUCAAGUAGGCUUUAUCCCUGAGAUGCAACGUUGGUUAGACAUACGCAAAACAAUAAAUGUGAUUCAUCACAUAAGCAGAAUCAAAGACAAAAACCACAUGGGGCCGGGCAUGGAGGCUCACGCCUGUAAUCUCAGCACUUUGGGAGUCAAGGCAAAUGGAUCACCUGAGGUCAGGAGUUCACGACCAGCCCGGCCAACAUGGUGAAACCCCAUCUCUACUAAAAACACAAAAAUGAGCUAGGUGUGAUGGCUUACACCUGUAGUCCCAGCUAUUCAGGAGGCUGAGGCAGGAGAAUCGCUUGAACCUGGGAGGCAGAGGUUGUGGUGAGCCGAGAUUGUGCCACUGCACUCCAGUCUGGGCAACCAGAGUGAAACUCCAUCUAAAACAAACAAACAAACAAACAAACAAACACCACACAGUUAUCUCAAUAGAUGCAGAAAAGACUUUCUAUGAAAUUCAAUAUCCAUUUAGGUUAAAAGCUCUCAAUAAAGUAGGUAUUGAAGGAACACAGCUCAAAAUAAAAAGAACUGUCUAUGACAAACCCACAGCCAACAUCAUACUGAAUGGGCAAAAGCUGGAAACAUUCCCCUUGAAAAUGAGCACAAGACAAGGAUACCCUUUCUAACCACUCAUAUUCAAUAUAGUAUUGGAAGUCCUGGCCUGGGCAAUCAGGCAAGAAAAAUAAAUAAAGGGCAUCCAAACAGGAAGAGAGGAAGUCAAACUAUCCCUGUUUGCAGAUGACAUGAUCUUAUAUUUACAAAACCCCAUAGUCUUAGCCCAAAAGCUUCUUAAGCUGAUAAACAACUUUAGCAAAGCCUCAGGAUACAAAAAUCAAUGUGCAAAAAUCACUAGCAUUCCUAUACACCAACAGCAGUCAAGCCAAGAGUCAAAUCAGGAACAGAAGCCCAUUCACAACUGCCACAAAAAGAAUAAGCCUAGGAAUACAGCUAACUAGGGAGGAAAAAGAUUUCUACUGGGAGAACUACAAAACACGGCUCCAGAAAAUCAGAGAUGACACAAACAAAUGAAAAAACAUUCCAUGAUCGUGGAUAGGAAGAAUCAAUAUUGCAAAAAUGACCAUACUGACUAGAGUGAUUUAUAGAUUAAAUACUAUUCCAACUAAACUACAGUUGAGAUUCUUUGCAGAUCCAGAAAAACUAUUUUAAAAUUAAUAUGGAACCAAAAAGAGCCCAAAUAGCCAAAGCAAUCCUAAGCAAAAAGAACAAAGCUGGAGGCAUCACACUAUACGACUUCAAACUAUACUACAGGGCUACGGUAACAACAGCAUGGUACUGGUACAAAAACAGACACAUAAAACAAUGGAACAAAAUAAAGAACCCAGAAAUAAGGCCACACCUACAACUAUCUGAUCUUCAACAAGCCUGACAAAAACAAGCAAUGGGGAAAGGACUCCCUAUUCUAUAAAUGGUGCUGGGAUAACUGGCUAGCCAUAUACAGACGAGUGAAACUAGACCCCUUUCUUAUACCAUACACCAAAAUUAACUCAAGAUGGAUUGAGGACUUAAAUGUAAAACCCCAAACUAUAAAAAACUCUGGAAGACAACCCAGGUAAUACCAUUCAGGACAUAGGUAUGUGCAAAGAUUUCAUGACAAAGAUGCCAAUAGCAAUUGCAACAAAAGCAAAACUUGGUAGAUCUAAAGAGCUGCUGCACAGCAAAAGAAACUAUCAACAGAGUGAUCAGGCAACCUACGGAAUGGGAGAAAAUUUUUGCAAACUAUGCAUCUGACAAAGGUCUAAUAUCCAGCAUUUAUAAGGAACAUAAACAAAUUUACAAGAAAAACAACUCCAUUAAAAAGUGAGCAAAGCACAGGAACAGACGCUUUUCAAAAGAAGACAUCGAUGCAGCCAACAAUCAUAUGAGAAAAUGCUCAAUGUCACUGACCAUUAGAGAAAUGCAAAUCAAAACCACAUUGAGAUACCAUCUCACACCAGUCAGCAUGGCUAUUAUGAAAAAGUCAAAAAGUAACAGAUGCUGGGGAGGAUUCAGGGGGAAAAAGGAAUGCUUAUACAUUGUUGGUGGGAAUGUAAAUUAGUUCAACCAUUGUGGAAGACAGUGUGGCAAUUCCUCAAAGACCUAAAACAGAAAUACCAUUCAACUCAGCAAUCCCAUUACUGAGUAUAUACCCAAGGGAAUAUAAGUCAUUCUACUGUGAAGACACAUACAUACAUGUGUUCAUUGCAGCACUAUUCACAAUAGCAAAGACAUGGAAUCAACCUAAAUGCCCAUUGGUGAUAGACUGGAUAAAGACAAUGUGGUACAUAUAAACCACGGAAGACUAUGUAGCUAUAAAAAAGAAUGAGAUCAUGUCCUUUGCAGGGACAUGGAUGGAGCUGGAGGCCAUUAUCUUUAGCAAACUAAUGCAGGAACAGAAAACUAGAUAUUGCACAUUCUCACUUAUAAGUGGUAGCUAAAUGAUGCAAACACAUGGACAUAUAGAGGGGGACAACACACACUGGGGCCUAUCAGAGGGUGGAGGGUGGGAGGAGGGAGAGAAUCAGGAAAAAUAACUAAUGGGUGCAAGGCUUAAUACGUGGGCGACAAAAUAAUCCGUACAACAAACCCCUAUGACACAAGUUUACUUAUAUAACAAACCUGCACAUGUGCCCCUGCACUUAAAAUAAGACUUAAAAAUAAGAACUCAUAGCCAUCUUUUUAAUUUCCCACACCUAUCUUCUUCCUUGUAAGAAUUGAUGAUAGCUUACACAUUUUAAAAAAUAUGCUAAAAAAUUUUAAAGAUGCUUUUUAAAAAUUGAAAAAAUUUUUGGUAUAUAAAUAUCUAAGAAUAUAUAGACCCUAUAGAUAGAAUAUUCAGUCUUUCUACAAUCAACUGGACCACAGAGACUUCUUUUUUCAUAGAGCAUCUUUCAACACUGGUGUGGUAAAUUUGGUAAAACUGUGUCAGUAAAUAUUUUGGGACUAUGGUUAUCAGCCUAGCUUACUAAUCUCAAAUUUUGAUCUAAUGAAUGACACACAUGUAACAGUGCUAUGAGCAAAUAUUAAGACCAUUUCUUGGAAUAAGCCAGUUUUAAAAAUCAACUUAUUGACUUAAAAUCAGUUUUAUUAUUAUUUACAUACGAUAAAAUGUGCUCCUUUAAAAUGUACAUUUUUAUGAGUUUUGACAAAUAUAUACAUCUCUGUGACUAACACCAUAGUUAUGAUUUAGAACAUUUCCAUCACCCUGCAAAAUUCUCUCAUGCCCCUUUGCAGUUAAUCCUCUCCGAAUCUCUGGUCCAGGCAAUGAAUGGUCUUUUUGUCAUGGUAGAUUAUAUUUCCUUAUUUCUAGAAUUUUAUGUAAGUGGUGCCAUAUACAAUGUACUUUUGUGUCUGAAACUUUUGUUUAUUUGUUUAGAGACAGAGUCUCACUGGAGUGCAGUGGCGUGACUAUGGCUCACUGCAUCCUCAAAGUCCUGGGCUCAAGUGAUCCUCCCCCCUCAACCUCCUGAGUAGCCUCUCUGCAUGUUUUUCUGAUUCAUCCAUGUUCUAUGUAUUGGUGGUUCAUUAUUUUAUUGCUGAGUAGUAUUCCACUGUAUGGAUAUAACACAACUUGUUUAUCCAUUGAAUUGUGAUGGGCCAUAAGACUGUUUCUCAUUUUUAGCUAUUAUAAAUAAAGCUUUUAUGAACAUUUAUGUGUAAGUUUUUGUGUGUGCACCAG